GCGGACGCUAAAAGAAAAUACACAGCAAAAUCCUUUUCCGUUAUAGAGCUGCAUCUACAGUUCUACCAAUAGCAAUUUAUCAAAAAAAAAGUUAUCUAGAAUACAUAAGCCGUGAUAUAAUUGUGUUAGUUGAAUUUAGUAGCUCACAAAUGCAUAGAUACUUAUUUUUCCUCGAUAAAAUUACUUCUCUACACCAUGAAAUUCAACUGUGUUAUGAAGUUCUCUAAAUAUCUUAAUCUGCGAUGCCAGUGCAUAACACCCUUCGGUGAAGGUUUAUUCCACGGUGAAUACCGCCAUAGCAAGAGCCUCUAUCUCAUUUCGGUAGUCUACUACUGCUCAUGCUUUAUGAUUGCCAUGUACUCGGCAGAAUAUUCACCAUCUUUGGCAGAAAUGCUGUGAUGUUAUGUUCUUCAGCGGUUUCUUCCACCAUUACAACCUCUUGCAAUUUGUGUCUAAAUUGGAAUUUCAUGAAGAUCCACCGACCUGUUCCGAGAAUGAACAUCACGAGAAGCAACAGUUUGAACAGCGAUGGCCGGAAGAAGUAGAUUUGGCCUGUACGCACUGGCUGUGUAAGUGGCUGAAACAUCGUGGAAAAUAACACUAUCGUUUCAACAACCGCCGCGUUGUGAUGCGUUGAGCAUGGUGUGCUCGCGUGGAAGUAGUGAUCUUUAGUUUUUAGUUAUUUUAUCGUAAAUGCAACGUUGUUAUUAGUGAAUGUUUAAUGACUUCAUUCACUGGAACGCGUUAUAUGUGAGGACCCCAUGCUGGCCUAUAUUGUCCUCUCACACACCUGCUACUGAGUUUACAUAAGAGGACGCCCUUGAAAAUGAAUUGUUUGGAUAUUUUCACAAAUACUUUCUUUCUGUUUCAAUAAUUACCAGAUCCAUUCAAACAGCCUAAUCAUUUAUUCUCUCUGACUGUAACGGUCAGACGCUGUGGAUGCUUCUGUGGUUUAGUAUUUUUGCAAACCUUAUUUGAUAUUUAACUCCGCGAGAGAAGUACUUAUUAUGUUAUUUAGCCUAAAAUCUUUAUUCUAGCUGUCCAUGAAGUAUACGUGGUGUUAGUUUAAGGUUUAAAGCCUCACAAAUGAGAGCCCCUCUUUACACUAGGUGUUUGAAAAAUGAUUGAAAAAUUGGAAAAAAAUGAGUGUCAUGGUUUCGUGACUGUGGUUAUUACCAUUGAAUAAUCAAAAUCCUAACGUCGGGAAAGAAA